UACGUAGGGUGCAAGCGUUGUCCGGAAUUAUUGGGCGUAAAGAGCUCGUAGGCGGUUUGUCGCGUCUGCUGUGAAAACUCGGGGCUUAACCCCGGGCCUGCAGUGGGUACGGGCAGACUAGAGUGCGGUAGGGGAGACUGGAAUUCCUGGUGUAGCGGUGAAAUGCGCAGAUAUCAGGAGGAACACCGGUGGCGAAAGCGGCGCACUGGACCACAACUGACGCUGAGGCGCGAAAGCUAGGGGAGCAAACAGG
rnacentral:rRNA from 1 species